rfam:Lunatimonas lonarensis strain AK24 S14_contig_14, whole genome shotgun sequence.
GGUAGCAGACAGGCCUUCCGAUGGCAUCCUGCGGGCUUGCCCUGACUGGCAAAGUCAGGGAACAGCCAUCAAACUACCUUACGCUGCAUAUUAGGGAAACCAAUAUGUAGUGAGCGGUAAGGAAAAACGGGGACUUUGAUCCCUGUAGGU